UAAAUCUAUAAACAUAAUCCUUUCAGUUCAGAAAACCCUCAACUCUAAAAAAACAUUCAACUCAAAAAUGGCAUAACCACACACUUUCACAAUAAAGUGGAUUUUUUGAACAACUUUGUCUAGGGUUUGAAACUAUUAUACGCGCCCUCUUCUUUAUUGUCAACAUUUCUACUGUUCUUUAAUGAAUAAUCAAAAGUAAUAUUUAUACUAUAAAUUUUAACAAUGGAGAGGAAGAAGAAGAAGUGAUCCUCUGCCGACGAAGAAGAGGUGAUCAAAAGGGAACCGCCUUCAGCAGGAGAGGCACCCCUACCGCCGGGAGGGGAAAGGGUCCGAUGCUUAUCGUCCACCAGAAGUGUUGGACUAUCGAUUAAUUGUGAUACACACUAUCGCACAUCUCGAAGUGAGGUAAACAAUAUAAAAAUUUAGGUCGAACAACAUUCAGCUCCGAUUCGGACAAUUUGAAGUGAGAGAGCUAAAAUUAUUGAGUGGGUUAAGCACGGGGAAGGAGUGGUGGUGGAAGAUCAGGAUAAAACAGUUAUGCAUUUCACUAUCGAAUGUCAUGGUAUACUGCACUCUAAGAAAAAUGGCUACUUUUGUAUCAAGUCGCUGGAUCAAGUCUUGUUUGGAGGUAUUUGAAUGUGUUCCCCUCAAGAACUUUUCUUGUUACAUUCUUUGAUUUUUCUGAUAAUGCUUUUUCUGUAAUUUAGUAUUUUUUCAAGACUAGAAAAAGUAUGACUUGGGGUCAGGACCUUCCCUAGACCCCAUGCAUAGCGGGAGCUUUAGUACACCGAACUGCCCUGUUUUAGAGAAGUAUGACUUGACGACCAUCAAAACAAACUAAUAUCUAAAAGAGAAAGCUUUCUAGGGCUUAGGUUCUCCCGAGCAUUCUGUUACAUUUAUUGAACCUCCUAUGCUCUACUUAAAUAUACUAGUUAUUAAUCUUAGACAUUAAUUUACUUUCAUGUAUGUUCUCAAUGGCAUACAAGCCUAUUUUCUAUAUUCCUAGGAGAAUGGAACUUAUUAGGAUGCAUUUGUGUCAAGCUCAAGUCAUGAGCAUACAGGGUAAAUUGGUAUAUUCCUAUACUAGUUAAAGAAUCAAUCCAACUAAUGAUAUGGUUAUCUUUAAUCCUUGUUCAUAUACUAUUCAAUUUGUGUCUAAUCUUAUACCCUUUUUUCCAAGUUCACUAUUUUAUUCCCAAUCAAUUGUAAAAAAUGUACACUCACUCACAAAAAUUAAGCACAAGACUGAAAAAUAACACAAGACCAUUUUAUGUAAAGCAAGGAGAACUCAAUCAAAUCCUUAAUCCAUGAUCGCUUUCAUUAAAUUCUUAUUACACAACUUAACUCAUGAAAUAACACAAGGACAAUGAUACACAUGCAUUACAAAUCUAAGAUAAAUAGGAAGAUACAAAGGAUGAUCUUAUAGUUGAAUCCUUUGAAUCAUCAAUCAUCUUGCUUCUUGUAUUUUUCCUGGCUCCGGAAACUUCAUUCCAAGAUCCUCACCCGACCUCCUUUCUUUCUUCCUUACACCCUUGUUAAAUUUGAAGAAAAGACAAUAUCAGAAAUCAAGCUCAUUUUGAGUUAUGUGAUUGUAAUAAGCUUGCUAUCUUAAGCUUUAGAUAUUGCAUAAUUACUAAAUCACUAUAUCUUUUUUAUGCGGUCAGAUCAAUUCAUUGCUUUGGGUGAUUUCAGUUAAUUUAGAUAUAACUUUUCCUUGGAAACUCCAAACGAUGAUCAGUUUGAAGCACUAGAGACUAACCACCAAGGAUUUAUAAUAUUCCUUAAGGUUUCAUGUCCAAAUGCCUCAUAAAGUGAGUUAUGCGCCUCUGAGGUUGAUCAUGAUUCUUAUUGUAGAGUAUGUUGCUUUUCACUCUAAUUUUUAACUUUUCUUGACUUGUUCUGUGUUGUUGUUCACCAUUAGACUUCAAAAGCUUCUUUGUUUCUAUAAAAGUCAAUUAAUGGCCAGUCAUUCCCACUUUCAUAACCUGUACAAACAUGAUAAUUGAAAAAGGUACACACAAAAUUCUCUAUUUCUAGCCAAACAUAAGUUCGGACUUGAAUAAACAUAUAUAAACCAGCUCAUCAAAUUAUGAACGACUUCCUCUAGAGAAUAUGUUGAUAUGCUUAUCUAUAAUUCAAGUCGCUAAUAGAGAAAAUGAUCUUGAAUUCACAAAUAAUAUGUGUUGUUUGCUUUCUAAAUAUUUUAAUACAGUGAUGAUAAUUUAAUUAAUAUGUAUUGUCGAAUUGGUUCAACUUCAUUUUCAUUAUUUACGCCUUUUUUAUGAUUUUUUUUUCUUUUCGAAGACUACAAGUCCUUUAGAUAAUCCCCUGAACUUGAGGGUGGGGAAUGGAAGAGGAUGGUUUUUCUUUUGCAGUCUCACUUUCUGUUAUCUUGAGAUGUGAAGUUAAAUCUGCUCGAUUUAUUGUAAAAGGUGCAGAGUAAUAAUAUGGACUCUGCAGUCUCUCUUGUUCUUUGCUACUGAAUUCUUACAUUAUACAAAUUAAGGUUAAUGAAAAAGAAAUAUUGUUUUUAUGAAGGAUGGAUGCUUACUGGAUGUUGGUAGUCACAUUCUUUAUUAUCCAUUUCCAUGUCGAGUUCCUUUCCCAGCAUUUUAGAGUUUCUGCUUAUGUGUUUUGCAGUAUGAUGAGAAAGAGAGUCAGUUCCUGAGAAAUUUUAUGUUUUACAAUUGGAGACAAAUUUGUUAAGAAAUUAACAAAAAAGGUCACACAUUUGUUGUGUAAAUUUAUUAGUGGCCCAAAAUAUGAGAUUGCAUGUAAGUGGGGAAUACAACCAAUCACUUGUGAGAGGAUUUAUGAGUGUAUCAGGCAAGUUAGUGCAGUCCUUUCUUUCUACAUUUUGUACUCUUUGUUCUUUUCCAUUCUUUAUCUUCAUGGUAGCUUCUUAUUACGGUUGUUGGAGCAGAACAAAAAUGUUUCUGCAGAUCUAUUUUAUACUAAAGAAAUCACUUCUGAAGAUCGAGAAGUUGGGGCAUGCAUAGUGAGCCAGUUCCCGACGCAAGCUUUUAGGAUGAUAUCAGGUGAUACCACUUACCAGCCUUAAACCCAGGCCCAAGAGUUCAUAAAUGUGAGAGCUGAAGCUUUUGCUGGUAAAAGUACUGCAAAAAGAAAAAAAUGAAGUAUUCAAGUAAAUUGAAUAAGAAGGCUAGGCUCUUGGUGAUUGAAGAAUUCAAUUGUUCAUUGUCCUUCUUAACAAAAGAAAAUAAUUCAUUUUGCGGGGCAAAUCCCCCAGAAAAGAACCUGACAGGAAGUAGUAAUAUAGGUUCUUCCGUAGUUUCUGAUGUAGCUGCUGCUAUAGAGGAUUUAUUGGAGCAAAUAAGCAAGGUAAUUUAAUAUUAAAACAAAAUAUCCUUAGGCUUUUUUAUAUGUUGAGAGAAGUCUUGCUCUUAAUUCGUGAUAAUUCUUUCAAUGGCUUCUGAUCUAAGAACCAUGAUCAAAAGUCUCCAUCAAGAAGCGAGUGUGAUAAAGAACUAUGGCUUUAUCAAGUGUUUUCUUCUUUCUUUCUCUCUUUACUCUUGACAUAUGCAAAGUUUGAGUCCUUUGACUAAAACAACUCUUUACAUCUAGAUGUAACAAUUUUUCUCAAGGUCAUGGAGAUGGUCAUGCUACUCUUGGAUUGUCUGACCACUAGAUGAACAGGUGAUCAAUUUUCCAUGUUUUUGGUCAAGUUUGGCGUUGUCUCAUAUCUUUGCUCUUCACUUUCUCAUCUUACUGAUAUUGUUAGCCGACCAUUUUGCUGAAAACCUCAUGGAUGAAGAGUACAAACCUCUUAAAACUUAUAUGCUAGAUGAAAAAGUUUUUUUUAUUAGAGAAGAUAUAUCAGAAGAAUAUCCAAGUUGGAGAAUGUUGUUUGAUGGGGCAACAAACUUCAAAGGAGUUGGUAUUGGGGCUGUACUAAUUUCAAAAUUAGGCCAGCAUUACCCAAUCUCAGCAAAACUCUGGUUUCCAUGCACUAACAAUAUGGCAGAGUACGAGGCUUGCAUUAUUGGUCUUAGAAUGGCUAUUGGUAUGAACAUACAGGAACUGUUGGUUACAAGGGAUUCAAAGUUAGUGGUUCAUCAAGUACAAGGUAAAUGGAAUGUCAAGAACGUAAAGCUACUUCCAUAGUUGGAGUGUGUGAAAGAGUUGCACAAGAAGUUCAUCAAGGUUAAAUUUAAACAUGUCCUAAGAACUCAGAAUGAGUUAGCAGAUACAUUGGCAACCUUGUCCUCUAUGAUUCAACAUCCAGACAAGAAUUUCAUAGAUCCUAUCAAGGUGAAUGUACAAGAAAAACCAACCUACUGUUUUCACGUAGAUGAGAAGACGGACGAAAAACCUUGGUACUACAAGAUUAAGAGAAAUCUCAGGGAAGGAGACUAUCCAGAAGGCAUAACCAGUAUUCAGAAGAGAACACUUUGGAGAUUGGCGAAUAACUUUUUCCUAAAUGAAGAAAUCCUUUAUAGGAGGACCCCGAAUUUAGGAUUGCUAAGGUUCAUCGAUGCUCAGGAGGCGAACAGGUUAGUAUAAGAAAUACAUAUGGGCAUCUGAGGCAUCAUAUGAAUGGUUUUGUUUUGGCAAUGAAGAUUUUUUGAGUUGGUUAUUUUUGGAUGAAAAUGGAAACAAAUUGCAUUAGCUUUGUGCAAAGAUGUCAUCAGUGUCGGAUUCAUGGUGAUUUGAUUCAUGUUCCACCAAAUGAACUCAAUGUGAUGAGUUCUCCCUGGUCAUUCACAGCUUGGGGUAUGGGUAUCAUCGAUCCUAUUAAGCCAGUUGCAUCCAGUGGACAUAGGUUCAUUUUUGUAGCUAUUGAUUAUUUCACUAAAUGGGUAGUAGCCUCUUCGUAAAAGUCCAUAACAAAGAAGGUGGUGAUAGAUUUUGUUCGCAAGUACAUUAUUUGUCAAUUUGGAGUUCUGAAAUCAAUUAUAACAGAUAAUGAAGCUAAUCUUGAUACUGGUUUGAUUCGUGAGAUAUGUGAGAAGUUUAAGAUUACUCAUAAUAAUUCCACUCCUUACCAACCUCAGAUGAAUGGAGUUUUUGAGGCUGCCAACAAGAACAUCAAAUGAAUAUUGCAGAAGAUGAUUAAUAACUGCAAGUAUUGGCAUGAGAAUUUGCCAUUUGCCCUCCAUGGCUAUCGCACCACUAUUGGACUUCUACUGGAGCAGCACAUUGUAUUUUUGUGUAUGGAACGGAAGUAGUGAUACCCGUAGAAGUAGAGAUACCAUAUUUGAGAAUCAUUCAGGAAGCUCAGUUGAGUGAUGCCAAAUGGAUUCAAAACUGGUAUGGACAAUUGAUACUAAUUGAUGAAAAGAGGAUGAACGCAGUUUGUCAUGGUCAACUUUAUCAGAAUAAAAUGGCCAAAGAUUUCAACAAGAAGGUAAGACCAAGACAUUUCAAACAAGGAAAAUUGGUGUUAAAACGCAUAUUUCUAUGCCAGAAUGAAGCUAAAGGAAAGUCCGCACCUCACUGACACGGGCUUACACGGUUCAUCGAGUACUGACAGGCGGAGCAUUGAUCCUAACAGAAACAAAUGGUGAAGUAUGGCCGAAAGCUAUAAAUGCAGAUGUUGUUAAGAAAUAUUAUGUUUAGAAGUCUUUAGUUGUUUUUUUAAUAAUUCUCCUUUUUCUAUGUAAUGAAACUAUGAAUGACCUAGUUUCCUUGGGGGAAUACGUAGGAAAUCCACGUCGAAGUUUGGUCUAUUAAGUAGAAAUUUCCCAAAAAUCCCUUGUUCUUGUAAUGUGAACUACAAUCGACCUUACUUCUUAGGCAGAUACGUAGGCAGCCACAUUGGCCUCGGUCACAUUAGAAGGAAAAAAAAUCAAAUUUCCUCCCUUUUCUAUUUCAUAUGUAAUUAAUUAUGUUCGAUCUGAUUCUUCCAAAAUCGAGCCAUGUCGUAGGGGCACCUUAAGCCCACAUUAACCAGAAGUUGCCCUGAUAACCUAUCACAAUCAUCACAUUAACCACAUGGGUCGAGUGAAUCCUGACAAAAAAUAAGAUAACGAAAAAUAUACCAUAAGUCAUAACUUAAAUAAUGUCUAACCAUUUCAUAAAUAUCAACACACUAGCCAAUAUACCCAUGUCCACAAUCAUCCACAAUACCUCCAUACAAACCAAAGUAUAGAAAUAUAUAUGUCGGGACAAGCCCCUGACAAUAGCCAAACUAGUCAAAAUAAGACUAAGUCUAAGGAUAGGGGACCAAGAAUUAAUGUCUUCCAAAAUAAGGAAGCUCACCACUCCGUAGUCGAUGCACGAACCGCUUCGAUCACCUAAUCGCUGCGUAGGAAGAGAAGAUGAUGCUCCGGCCCCUAUGUCGCGUGGAGACAUAGCAUUCGAAUACGGCUGGUGGUUGGAACGCUAGCAUGUAACUCAAAGAUAAGGAUAAAAUAGCAUAUAUAUAUAUAUAUAUAUAUUCAAUCACAUUCAUAACCUUAUCCAUACAUAUAGACAUAUCAUAUGCUAACCAGGGGACAAGUCUUACCAACAUUUUGGAAAGACUCAUUCAACAAACAUGCAAUGGAGGACUCUAAUCUUCCACACUUAUAGAUUCAAGCAUUUCUUAUUCGGCAUAGGACUUUAACCAUAUUCACAUAUCAUGAAGUAAGGGAUUCUAAGAACAUACACAUCCACUUAAGUGAAAGACACUAACCACUCACAUUCAUUCAAGCAAGGGACUCUAACCAUAUUCUCACAUAUUAGGCAAGGGACUCUAACCUCAUUCUAUAUUCGAUAGGAGACCCUAACCCCAUGCCAAUUUAUUUGGUGAGGCACUUCGACCUCAUGAGAUCUCAUUAUGCAAGAGACUGUAACCACAAGCGAUUCUAUUAGGCAAAGGACUUUAACCUCAAGCCAUCACGACUCUUAUUAGUCGACAUUGGGACUCUUAACCCUUUUUCCAUGCAUCCACAUACAUUCAAUUCUACACAUAAGGACUUUAACCUAUGUAGCUAAUUCAACACCAUACAUUACCAGAUAUGGUCUUCAUGGGAGCCUUCGUUGCUAAACCAUUUCUAUAGGCCAAUGCCUUAAUUCAACUCAUUAUACGAUUCAAACUAAGGUCCUCAAGACCCUUACAAGCCAUUACCACUUCAUUAGUAAUUCUAUACCAUAAUUUAGUUCAACACACAAUUCAAGUUCAUUUUCAUGUUAGGGACUUUAACCUCUUUCUUAUUCCUCCAACCAUCGAGGUCAUCAAUUACACAAUACGCGGCUUAUUUUACUUUCACAAUAUGAUUUAUCAAGCAUUCUUACAUAUUGGGCCAUUGCCCUAGUUCAAAGCAUCAUCGUUAUGUAACUAGACAUCUCACUUAGAUAUUUUCACAAACACCUUGUGUACAUGCCUUUACCAAGUACAAUUUCAUGGUAAAAACCAUCAAGACUAGGGUUACUCAAGACCCACAUGAUAUACCACAUACAAUAAGCAUUCAUGAGUGCAAACUACUAUAAAUAACAUGUAUAAACAUAAGUCUAGGCAAGAAUAAUCAUUAUUCAUCAUUUGGCAACAAAACCCUUUUCAUUCGAUUUCAAAACCACCGUGUACAAUUAUUAAUCCAAGUGUGAAAUACAUAGGUUUAGAGUUAUUUAGCUAGGGGAAGAGGUACAUGCCUUAGACAACUUCAAUCACCAAGAAUGUUGACUUCACUUUGCCUCUUGAAGAUCACCCUCGAAACCCUAGCCUCCAAUCCUUCAAAGAUGAGCUUGAGAGAGUAUUUAGGGUGUUUGAUCAAUCAAAAUGGAUUUUUCGGAGGAUACACACUCUUAUGUAGUGAGAGGUCUUAGGGUUUUAGGCAUAACAAAUAGCCACAAGACCCUUGGUUAAAAGCUGAAAAUUGAACCCAUCAAGGGGUACAACUCACCAUACGACUCACUUAAGUAGUCGUACACUAGGGCAUGAGUGGUACCCUAACUCGUACCCUAGGCUUCUCCUAGGUCACAAAAACUAUUAUGGGUACGAUCAUGCACCUUUAAGUUGUAUCCAAAGGGUACGACUCACCCCUAACUCGGACACAACAAUCGUACCCAAAAUAGUCCACUUCCCAACUCAUGAAUCCCCUAUACAACUCACCUUACUAUGACUCGUACCCUUAGGUACGAUUGAGGGGAGGGUCACUCGUACCUAGAAAAGUGAGUGACACUCACCGCGCUAUCUAGGAUAUGAGAGGGGAGGAGCAGAAGGAAAUAACAAGUAUCCAAGGGGUACGACUCAAGCCACUAAUUGUACCUACCCUUGUGACACCAAAAAAUGAAGUUUUUCAAUGAUUCUAAGUCUAGGUGUUUCUAUUCCCGUGGGAUACAUAGGCAACCCACGAAGAGUUCGGCCCCUUAGUUUUUAAUUUUCUUAAGUGUAUUUAAUGAACUACGCUCGGCCUGAUUCCCUUGGCGAGAUAUAUAGGCAGCCUAUACUAGGCUCGGUCUCAUCAUCUUGGAAAGUUAGCAUCUCGCUCAAACCAAAAUUGAGACAACAUUUAAAGGUCAUCAUUCUAAGAAAUGGUUGAAUAGAUGUCAAGAGAUACUGAAAAGUGUGGGUUCAACCAAGUUGUUGAAAAAUGGGACAUUCGUUUUGGAUAAAGGAGGUUCACAUUGUUUCAGAAUAUGUCAUAGUUCAAAAGUUUGGCAAAAUUUCUUUUGCCACUACGUAUAUUUGCAUAUUUUACUUAUCAAGUUAUUUAUUACUCUUGUUUAUCUUCUAUUUUAAAUAAUUUUCUGUUAAACAUUUUUUUAUUAUCUAUUUGCCAAUAUUGGAAUAGAUGGGGUUAUGAGUCCAAACAAAGUUGGAAGCACGUAGUAUCUAGAGCAAGUCCUUCAAAGUCGACACAAAUCAACCACCCCCAAAGUUACAAACUUUUCUCUGGAUGCUGGUUCUAUAAAUUAGCGAUGUUAAAAGUUAACGACAUUGCAGUCUUGUGAGGAUUACACCUCAAACGGUUUGGAUUCCUUUAAAGCAUUUAGGAGAAAUUAUGCCUUUGUAAUGAUAUUGAUUUUAAAAUUAUAAAUUAAACAAUUUUGAAGAUUGACAAAGAUUUCAAACGCACUACACAUAACUUCUGUUUGGUCUAUUUAAUGCCUUCAAAAUUAUUGCAUAAAUCUUUCAAAUGCUUAAAAUGCACAAUACAUGACUUUCAAUUGCUUGCACCGCACUUGCACUGUACAAAUGCGUUAAAAUGUGUUAAAAUGCAUUGCACACGACUUUAAUGACUCUGCACAAGCACAAUCGCUUUUAAUUUAUAAUGAAUAAUACAUAGCUUUCAAUUACUUUGCACCGCACAUGCACUGCACAAAUGCUUUAAAAUAUUUUAGAAUGCAUUGCACAUAGCUUUAAUGGCUUUGCAUAAGCACAAACGCACGACAUAAUUGCUUUUAAGAUAUUCUGCACUACUCAUGGCUUUCAUCUUCUUCUAAAGGAACUGCACAAUUGCUUUAAGUUAUGUCGCACUCUGCAUGACUUUCAUUUCUUCCAUAGCAUCGCGCAAUCACUUUCAAAUGCAUUGCACAACUAUUUUUUGAUAAGUGCAUAAAAACUUACGGAUGCACCAAACGAAUGCUUUAUAGAAUCCACCGCUUACAAAGGUUAUUUUUCAUAAAUCAUUAGCUUAGGGAAAAGCCUUCAUCUAUUAAUUAUUUGGCUUGAAAAUGCCUUAUAUUCAUAAUUUACUUAGUUUAAGGCUUCAUUUUCAUUGCCGAAAGGCACCAUUCUCAUUAAUCAUCAGUCUAAAACCUUAUUUUAUAAGCAUUGUUGAAGGUAUUAUAUCAUUAAAUUAUUUCUGUCCAAGGCCUCAUUUUCACAAAUUAACGCACGAGGGGUGUCAUUUUCAGGAAUUUCUAAAGAUUGUUUAUACUUAAUGUUUAUGUACUUGUUGUUUUAUCUAGUUUAAGUUUUACAGGAACCUUAGCAAAAAUGUGGAACUAUUUCUGAGCAGUGAACUUGGGCAAUUUAUUAGGAAUGAGGAUUAAACUCCCAACAAAGAUUAAGAAUCUACCUCGAACUUCACUUGACCCUACUUCUAAAUGCCCUACUAACAUUGAUAAUUUGAUGGUCAAGUUCUCUCAUUUUUAUCUUCUAUGUUCCUGAAUCAUCAUACCCAGUGUCAUCAUAAUACGACACUGGGACAAUCUUUAUAAGCUCAUGUUUAUCUUUUUUUCCUAAUCUACAAGAAUUAUGAGUUUUGAACUACAUAUGGCUUGGUUCUCAUACAACCUGACAUAUGUAAGCAACUCGGAGAUCAGAGUUUGACCACAUUCCUCCCAAACAUUUUUCAUACUUAUCCUUUCAGAUUCUAUCAGCUGGACAAAAUUAGGUUACUAAGUCAACUUCUUUGUUCAAAAAUUCUUUCAUCAUUUUCAACCAAAGAUGGACAGUUGUUGACACCCAAUUUUGUUCCGUCUUUCUUUCAAACUAUCUUUGUGCGCUUUUAAAUAACUUUGAUAGCUAAAAAAAGUUCAUGUAUGAUAUUCCUACAAUUAGGAGUUUAUGCAGGUUCUGCUACCAUUUGUAUUUCUAAAAUUAAGAAUUGUCGAUGACAUUAUUAUUAUUAUUAUUAUUAUUAUUAUCGUCAUCAUUAUUCUUUAUUGCUAUUUUUAUUAUAUUUUAAAUUAUCAUCGCAUUUUUUAUAAACUUGCGCAAAAGGCAUUAUAUUUUUUUUUAAUUAUAUGAAAUAUUUUUGUGAUUUUAUACUUUAUAAAUAAUAUCAUUCAAUUCCAACAUUUACGAUGCAACUUUGUUUAAGUACUUGUUUUAGUAUCAAAUGAUUUUUUUAUUUAUUCGAAUAUUUUAAUAUGUUUUAUCAAAAGUGUUAUUUGUAUUAAUUUAGAAGCCCAAAGCGUAUAAGAAGGAAAGCAUUUAAAUUAGCCCAUUCCUUUAAAUAUUUUUACAAUCUUGGCUUAAAUUGAGGUCUGAUCCAUUAAAUCUGACCUUUCUCUCCACUCGUCCACCUCAGCACCACUUGGAUGCCACAUUUGUGCAACAUAAGGCGCCAAACAGUCUCCGCACACGCCUGUAAUACUUCUUCCACAAUCAGCACAUGUCUCGCCACUUGUCUUGCUCUUAUUAGCAGGUCAAACCCAAUUAAUUUCCAAUUUACUCUAAACUACCUCUUAUACCCUCACUUACCCACAUAAAGCAUCUAUAAUUCCCCCUUGAAAUCCUAGAAGCAUACUAGGUUGCUCUCCUCUACUCUAUCAAUGCUGCUCUUUUCUCUCCAUUAUUAGCAAAAAUCUCACCUUCUUUAGCCAUGGACAGUCGUUCUCAUCCUUUUUUUGUGCAAACUUUGAUAACUCUAUCUGCUCUAUUCUCCCCUCUCUCAGUCAAAUAUAGUGACAAAGUCCUCCUAAUCAAUCAUAUUGCUAAGCUUAGAGCUACAGCUUUUUAGAAUUUUGAAAUCAAAUUCAAUUAACUCUUUUCAUGUUACAAACUUCCACCCAAAAAGAAUUCCCAUAAACCCUAGUUUCCCCUCUAUAAAUACAAAGAUUGGGGGAGGCUUGAGAGGGAGUUGUUUUAAGCAAAAAAUUCUUUGUUUACAACAAAGAACAAGAGCUUCUCUUUUUCAUAAAUAUCCAGUCCUUUCAUCUCUCUUUGAUUUUUGGAAUCCUUUGUGCCAUUCGAAUACAGAGUUUCUAUUUCGAGUGUAAAUUUCUGAUCUAAGAGUACCUUAGUUCACUGCUCCAAAACAGAUUGAUGGUCAGUCGUUGAGAAAGAAGUUGAAGCAGCAGAUAGGUCAAAAAUAUAAAUAUACAGCAACAAGUUGCUUCUUCAAAUCAUAUUGAAAAGACAUAUCAUAGAUAUUAGCCGGAUGAUUCAAAUAUUCAACCUUUACACAGGAAAACUAUGCGGAUCAUGUGUUGCUAGAAAUAAGAAAUCAAUAACCAACACAAUUAACAAACUCUAUAUUCCUGCGGAAUUGCCUUGACAUAUGGUUGAUGAGGCUUAUGUUCCUGUUAAUUGCGUUAAAGAAUUUCAUUAGGUGUUGGUUGUUAUUGUGCUGAAGGAAAGAGUCAUACGAGCCUAUGCCUCAUUAUUAGGAACCACAAAUAGGGACCCAUCCAAUGAAAUACACAAGUUGGUCGUGAUGUUGCCUAUUUACUUGUCUGAUAAUGGGUUCUUUGAAAGGACAAAAUGUGUUGACUGGCAAAUUCUGAAUGUGUAUAAAGAUAAAUUGGGUCAGCGCACUCAGAUUCUCAACCAACACCCAUUUGACGUUCAGUAUGUUGAAAACAUAGCCCAACAAGCGUGUGCUAGUCUAUAUUGUGGUGUUUUUGUAGUUGGAUAUGCAGAAAUCUUAAGUGAAGGGCUAACAGUGCCUUCAAGUGGGUUUGACGCACAAACUCAACGAAUACGCUAUGCAACAUUACUUUGAAAUUACAAAGUUAUCAAGUCAUCUGAAGGAUACACAAGUGACAAUGAUGAUCCUCCGCGACCAAGUCCAAGUUAUGUUCAAUCAGUUGACAAAACAACAAUAGUUAGUUUAGAGUAGCACAGAUUUUUAACCUUCUACAUGAUCACAUUUACUAACUUAUUUUAGUAAUGGAUGUUAAAGAUUUAUAGCACUUGUUAUAUUUUUAGUAUUAGAUUGAAUUUUUGUUUUUUUGUUGGAUUUAGGAUUUGGGAUGUCUUAAGGAUGCUUAUCUAUCUUCUUUUUCUUUAAUAUGUUGAUAGAUUAAUUUUGUUAUUA